GACGAACGCUGGCGGCGUGCUUAACACAUGCAAGUCGAACGAGAAUCUACUGAAAGAGUUUUCGGACAAUGGAUGUAGAGGAAAGUGGCGGACGGGUGAGUAACGCGUGAGGAACCUGCCUUGAAGAGGGGGACAACAGUUGGAAACGACUGCUAAUACCGCAUAAGCCCACGGUACCGCAUGGCACUGAGGGAAAAGGAUUUAUUCGCUUUAGGAUGGACUCGCGUCCAAUUAGCUAGUUGGUGAGGUAACGGCCCACCAAGGCGACGAUUGGUAGCCGGACUGAGAGGUUGAACGGCCACAUUGGGACUGAGACACGGCCCAGACUCCUACGGGGGGCAGCAGUGGGGAAUAUUGCACAAUGGGGGAAACCCUGAUGCAGCGACGCCGCGUGGAGGAAGAAGGUCUUCGGAUUGUAAACUCCUGUUGUUGAGGAAGAUAAUGACGGUACUCAACAAGGAAGUGACGGCUAACUACGUG
rnacentral:rRNA from 1 species